ACGAGUGGCGGACGGGUGAGUAAUGUCUGGGAAACUGCCUGAUGGAGGGGGAUAACUACUGGAAACGGUGGCUAAUACCGCAUAACGUCGCAAGACCAAAGAGGGGGACCUUCGGGCCUCUUGCCAUCAGAUGUGCCCAGAUGGGAUUAGCUUGUUGGUGAGGUAACGGCUCACCAAGGCGACGAUCCCUAGCUGGUCUGAGAGGAUGACCAGCCACACUGGAACUGAGACACGGUCCAGACUCCUACGGGAGGCAGCAGUGGGGAAUAUUGCACAAUGGGCGCAAGCCUGAUGCAGCCAUGCCGCGUGUAUGAAGAAGGCCUUCGGGUUGUAAAGUACUUUCAGCGGGGAGGAAGGUGUUGUGGUUAAUAACCGCAGCAAUUGACGUUACCCGCAGAAGAAGCACCGGCUAACUCCGUGCCAGCAGCCGCGGUAAUACGGAGGGUGCAAGCGUUAAUCGGAAUUACUGGGCGUAAAGCGCACGCAGGCGGUCUGUCAAGUCGGAUGUGAAAUCCCCGGGCUCAACCUGGGAACUGCAUUCGAAACUGGCAGGC
rnacentral:rRNA from 1 species